UAAAUCAAAGCAUUUGUAACGGAGUUAUUUUGGUAAUAUUAUUUUCACUCAAAAUCCUUUUUUCUAUUGAGUAUAACUUUAAUUUACUUCAUUUGAUAUUAUUAUAUAUAUUAUUUUAUCGUUUUGAGUUCAUGCUUGUAUGUGACUUUCAGGACCUGUUCAAGUGUACUGUCACUUUAAGAGUGUAUACUCGUUUGUGUGCGCGCUCAUCGCUCUCUCAGUUCACUUCCUUCUGAGCUGAGAGAAGGUUGUCUCGUGGUUAAUGGAGACAUUAAACGGUUGUUUAAUGAAGAUCAUAAUCACAGAAUGCAUGUUUUCAACACAUUUUCCAUUUGUGCAGAAAAUAAAGACAGUGCCAAGCGGUAAGAGGUUUGGAGUCCUUUAUUGAAAAACAACAACACAACGCAGGACGGAUUCCACUCGUGUGGGACCCGUUACACAUUUUAUGAUUUUCCUGAAUAUUUUCAGAGGAGACAAUCAAAACAAAUAUUAAUCUGUAAGAAAAUACCAGCCUGAUCUCACGAGGAACAUUAAGUAUUUUACGUUUUGUCAGUUUAGUGGCGAAUUCGUACGAAAAUGUGCGAUUUUUAGAAAUGAGGCGUGGCACCAGGCCCGAAUUGGCUA